rnacentral:rRNA from 1 species
GACGAACCGUGCGAACGUUAUUCGGAAUCACUGGGCUUAAAGGGCGCGUAGGCGGGCGGUCAAGUCAGAGGUGAAAUCCCACGGCUCAACCGUGGAAGUGCCCCUGAUACUGGCUGUCUGGAGGGAGGUAGGGGCGUGCGGAACUUCCGGUGGAGCGGUGAAAUGCGUAGAUAUCGGAAGGAACACCAGUGGCGAAGGCGAGUCCCUGGACAACUCCUGACGCUGAGGCACGAAAGCUAGGGGAGCAAACAGG